CGGCGCGGUGGUCGGCGGAGACCCGGCGCAGGAAGCCGGCAAUGGCAGCGUACGACCCGCCCUGCGCCGUC
rnacentral:tRNA from 1 species